GAUGAACGCUGGCGGCGUGCCUAAUACAUGCAAGUCGAGCGAACAGACGAGGAGCUUGCUCCUCUGACGUUAGCGGCGGACGGGUGAGUAACACGUGGAUAACCUACCUAUAAGACUUGGAUAACUUCGGGAAACCGGAGCUAAUACCGGAUAACAUGUUGAACCGCAUGGUUCAACAGUGAAAGACGGUUUUGCUGUCACUUAUAGAUGGAUCCGCGUCGCAUUAGCUAGUUGGUAAGGUAACGGCUUACCAAGGCAACGAUGCGUAGCCGACCUGAGCGGGUGAUCGGCCACACUGGAACUGAGACACGGUCCAGACUCCUACGGGAGGCAGCAGUAGGGAAUCUUCCGCAAUGGGCGAAAGCCUGACGGAGCAACGCCGCGUGAGUGCAGAAGGUCUUCGGAUCGUAAAACUCUGUUAUUAGGGAAGAACAAAUGUGUAAGUAACUAUGCACGUCUUGACGGUACCUAAUCAGAAAGCCACGGCUAACUACGUG
rnacentral:rRNA from 1 species